rnacentral:rRNA from 1 species
UACGUAGGGUGCGAGCGUUGUCCGGAAUUAUUGGGCGUAAAGGGCUCGUAGGCGGCUUGUCGCGUCGACUGUGAAAACCCGUGGCUCAACCAUGUGGUCUGCAGUCGAUACGGGCAGGCUAGAAUUCGGUAGGGGAGACUGGAAUUCCUGGUGUAGCGGUGAAAUGCGCAGAUAUCAGGAGGAACACCGGUGGCGAAGGCGGGUCUCUGGGCCGAUAUUGACGCUGAGGAGCGAAAGCGUGGGGAGCGAACAGG